rnacentral:misc_RNA from 1 species
GAUGAAGAACGUAGCGAAAUGCGAUAAGUAAUGUGAAUUGCAGAAUUCAGUGAAUCAUCGAAUCUUUGAACGCACCUUGCACCCUUUGGUAUUCCGAAGGGUAUGCUCGUUUGAGUGUCAUUGUACUCUCACACUUCUAAUUCCUUUCGGGAUUGGGAGCGGUGGACUUGGGUGUUGCUGCUUUAGUUGUGGCUCACCUCAAAUAAGUUAGUGCAACUCUUGGUUGGACAUAGUACGGCGUGAUAAGUGUCUUCGCCGGCGCCUCUGUAAGGAGGGUGGCCGAUCGGGAGCUCUGUGCUUCAAACCGUCUUCGGACAAGUUUUGACAACUUGACCUCAAAUCGAGUAGGACUACCCUCUUAACUUAAGCAUAUCAAUAAGCGGAGGA